rnacentral:rRNA from 1 species
GAGUUUGAUCUUGGCUCAGAAUGAACGCUGGCGGCAUGCCUAACACAUGCAAGUCGAACGAAGGCUUCGGCCUUAGUGGCGCACGGGUGCGUAACGCGUGGGAAUCUGCCCUUGGGUUCGGAAUAACAGUUAGAAAUGACUGCUAAUACCGGAUGAUGUCGUAAGACCAAAGAUUUAUCGCCCAAGGAUGAGCCCGCGUAGGAUUAGCUAGUUGGUGGGGUAAAGGCCCACAAGGCGACGAUCCUUAGCUGGUCUGAGAGGAUGAUCAGCCACACUGGGACUGAGACACGGCCCAGACUCCUACGGGAGGCAGCAGUGGGGAAUAUUGGACAAUGGGCGAAAGCCUGAUCCAGCAAUGCCGCGUGAGUGAUGAAGGCCUUAGGGUUGUAAAGCUCUUUUACCCGGGAUGAUAAUGACAGUACCGGGAGAAUAAGCUCGGCUAACUUCGUGCCAGCAGCCG